AUGUGGCACAUUAAUGGAAUUCAAAAAAAUCAAAAUGAAACAAAUAUAAUUGUGAAAGAGAACAAAAAGCAACAAAACAGAUCCAGAUUAUUCUCUUUCUCUCAUACAGUAUCGCUUCUGUUCAGACUCCAAAUCUCUUUUCUCAGAGGGUGUCGGCUGUACGACGGAGCUUGCGGAUUUGCAAUGGCUUGGUGGGUCACGGUGAUGUUGAGUUGUCAGUACGGAGGUGGCGCUGAACGAAGAUAUUGA